ACGUAAGGGGCGAGCGUUGUUCGGAAUUAUUGGGCGUAAAGGGCGUGUAGGCGGUUUGGUAAGCCUGGUGUAAAAGGCGUACGCUUAACGUACGUAGGGCGCUGGGGACUGUCAGACUAGAGUGUAGGUAGGGGAGCUGGAAUUCCAGGUGUAGGGGUGGAAUCUGUAGAUAUCAGGAGGAACACCGAUGGCGAAGGCAGGCUUCUAGCCAUGCACUGACGCUGAGGCGCGAAGGCGUGGGGAGCGAACAG
rnacentral:rRNA from 1 species